rnacentral:lncRNA from 1 species
AGAAAGCACCUACUACUCUGCUAGCUGCUCCCACAAGACUCCCAGAUCCAAGAAUGCUUCCUGGAUUUUGUGCUGGCCCAGCUGGAGUUGAAUUGUUUUUAUUCUUUCCUGGACGUGAGCUCUCGCUCAGCAUCCUGUUCCAGAUGCCUUGCCUGACGACCCCUGUGGUCAGGCUUCUGCUCUGCCAUCAUGGGCUCCACCUAUCCCUUUGGAACUAGGUUACACAUUUCUAGGGACACUUGCUGAGGAGGUAAUGGGAGAUAGAAGAUACAGAUCUUGGGAGCAAUUCAGAGGAGAAAGAAAACCAAGCAACCCGCUGUUUUUUGCUGGCAGAGGCCUCAAAUCUCUUUCCACAGAGUGUUUAGCUGGCAUUGUCACUGUAGCAAAAUGAGAAAGAUGGUUGAAGAGCUGCUCACUCUCCUCAUAAGCAAGAGGCUUCUCAGCAACGCUGCAGGAGAAUCGUUUGGCUUGCUGUCAUUGCUGAAGCACCCUGGUGCUAACCUCCUUUAAAAAGGUGUUCUCUGGGAUGGGGGUAGAAGUCACGGAUAGAGUGCUAGCAGGUACAACUAGCAGGUACAACCCUACACUCAAUCUCCAGCACAAUAAACAAGUUAAGUGGACUGAAGAUGUGGCUCAGCAGUUAAGUACGCGUAUUGCUUCUGUAGAGGACCCAUGUUCAAUUACCAGCACCCACAUGGUAGCUCAUAAUCUUCUAUACCUCCAGU